GGUAACCUGCCUGUAAGACUGGGAUAACUCCGGGAAACCGGGGCUAAUACCGGAUGGUUGUCUGAACCGCAUGGUUCAGACAUAAAAGGUGGCUUCGGCUACCACUUACAGAUGGACCCGCGGCGCAUUAGCUAGUUGGUGAGGUAACGGCUCACCAAGGCGACGAUGCGUAGCCGACCUGAGAGGGUGAUCGGCCACACUGGGACUGAGACACGGCCCAGACUCCUACGGGAGGCAGCAGUAGGGAAUCUUCCGCAAUGGACGAAAGUCUGACGGAGCAACGCCGCGUGAGUGAUGAAGGUUUUCGGAUCGUAAAGCUCUGUUGUUAGGGAAGAACAAGUGCCGUUCAAAUAGGGCGGCACCUUGACGGUACCUAACCAGAAAGCCACGGCUAACUACGUGCCAGCAGCCGCGGUAAUACGUAGGUGGCAAGCGUUGUCCGGAAUUAUUGGGCGUAAAGGGCUCGCAGGCGGUUUCUUAAGUCUGAUGUGAAAGCCCCCGGCUCAACCGGGGAGGGUCAUUGGAAACUGGGGAACUUGAGUGCAGAAGAGGAGAGUGGAAUUCCACGUGUAGCGGUGAAAUGCGUAGAGAUGUGGAGGAACACCAGUGGCGAAGGCGACUCUCUGGUCUGUAACUGACGCUGAGGAGCGAAAGCGUGGGGAGCGAACAGGAUUAGAUACCCUGGUAGUCCACGCCGUAAACGAUGAGUGCUAAGUGUUAGGGGGUUUCCGCCCCUUAGUGCUGCAGCUAACGCAUUAAGCACUCCGCCUGGGGAGUACGGUCGCAAGACUGAAACUCAAAGGAAUUGACGGGGGCCCGCACAAGCGGUGGAGCAUGUGGUUUAAUUCGAAGCAACGCGAAGAACCUUACCAGGUCUUGACAUCCUCUGACAAUCCUAGAGAUAGGACGUCCCCUUCGGGGGCAGAGUGACAGGUGGUGCAUGGUUGUCGUCAGCUCGUGUCGUGAGAUGUUGGGUUAAGUCCCGCAACGAGCGCAACCCUUGAUCUUAGUUGCCAGCAUUCAGUUGGGCACUCUAAGGUGACUGCCGGUGACAAACCGGAGGAAGGUGGGGAUGACGUCAAAUCAUCAUGCCCCUUAUGACCUGGGCUACACACGUGCUACAAUGGACAGAACAAAGGGCAGCGAAACCGCGAGGUUAAGCCAAUCCCACAAAUCUGUUCUCAGUUCGGAUCGCAGUCUGCAACUCGACUGCGUGAAGCUGGAA
rnacentral:rRNA from 1 species